CAACAUUCCCAACUCCUUUAGGCCCAAGAGAGGGGCUGAGGAACAAGGUCAGCUUAAAGCAAUGCAGUACUCUAACGACAGCUCUGGCAAACACUUCCAGAGCUCUGCCCCCAUGGCUUGGUGCCCAGCCACACCCUUCCCUAGUUGAAGUGAUGAUAACAGAACCCUCCUUCCCCUCCCAGGCAGCGACAGUGGUAUGAUGAUCCUUUCUACACCAAAGAAGCAGCAAGAUGGGCCCCUCUGCCUCCUAAGAGGCAGGAGUGGCAGCAAUUCCCCACACCCCACCACCACUAAUGUUUACCCCAAUAACCAGGGUCUGUUUUGGUUGGUGGGCAAGGCCUGCUGCAUUAUUCUUCUGCUACAUGCAGAGUCCUCUGCUGGGUUGGCCUUGUUGGGGGCACCCAGAGCCGCAAGCCAUUCUGAUGCAUGGGACAGUGCACAUCACUCAAAGUUGUCGUUUCAAGCUGUCUGCAGAUUCAGAAAAACAUCUCUGCAUCGGUUACAGUUGAGGGGCAUAGCCCAUACAAUUUCAAAAUUUUCUUCACAACUAUGAAAUCUAGCAACUUUCCUUUAAAAAAAAGAAAAAAAGAACUGAGAUUCAGAUGUAAUCACAAAACUCUAGGAGCAGAGGUCCUUUGCAUACGCCUCUGGUGCCUAUGUAGGGUGGUCAACUUUCUAAUCUGUGAAAACAGGACAUUGAGUGCCAGAACUUCCCCUGCCUCCUGCUCCGCCUCUUCCCCCGAGGCCCUCCCCGCCACUCCUCUUUCCACCCCACUGUCACUUGCUGCUUUUUCCAUCACCCUCCCCCUGCCAGCUGAGCAGGGUUCUAGGGGUGGAAGUGUGCCUGGGCAAGACGCUGGAGAGAGAGAGAUGGACGCUGAGGGUAAAAGGCCCAACCUCAUCGGACACUGAGGGACUGGAGUCUACAUUCUUCUGCAGACGCAUGCAGUUUCUGGAAGAAAACAGUGUCCUGUUACAGGGAGGCUGCUGGUUACUUCUGAAAGCUGGCAGUGUGCCACCCCUACUCCCAUCCCACCCACCAUGGUGAUGGAAAACCGAUAUGCUGCCCUGGCAACGAGCGAUGAGGAAUCGCCCCCAAAGGUGGAGAAGGAGAAGCCAUGUACCUCCAAGGCUGGAAGAAUCACAGCCACCGCUCCCAGGAGGAAACAUAAGGUAGUGGUGGUUGGUGACUUUCAUCUGAGGGAGAUGGAGGCACCCAUCUGUCAGCCUGACAUGGCAUCCCGGAGUUAUGCAGCCUGCCAGAGCCCUGUAUCCGAGACGUUAUGGAGGGAUUGUCGAGAAUCUUCCAGCCCUCUGACUACUACCCCAUGCUACUCUUCCAAGUGGGCACAAAAUGAUACUGCGAGAGUGAGGUAGAGCAACAAAAAAGCUGGCCCUGAGUUACUGACUACUAUGGCUGAAACCAACAUCCUAUAGUCGUUUUGGAAGAAGCGAGUCCACUGACUGUUUGCUUACACACCUAUUCAAGAACUGGUGCCUGCAUUCCACAGACAGUACCUUGACUGCAAGAAUAUUCUCAAUGGGACUUGAGUUCCAAAAGUAACUCAGCAACUAAAGCUGCCACUCACAAAUUCAUUUGUAAAUACUUAUUGGGCUAUUUUGAUGGAUGAUACAACACACAUUUAAUCUGUAAUUACAUUUUCUACUGCUUCCAUCUACUCAGGAAUCUUAUUGAUUAUUGCAACUACAGUUGUACUUGGCCAAAGCUGCUUUUCUUUCCAAAACAAAUAACCUGUGUCACACAGGCAUUAAUUAAAGAACAGUAAUGAAGAACUUAAAUUAAACAGCGAAUAAAAUGCAUUUCAGACUAUAUUAUACAAAAGCAUUACAUUUCAAAGAUAACUGCACUGCUAUAACAUGGCCUCUGAUCAUCACCAAAAAACCAGAAGUUAGCCCAGACUGCAGUCCAGAAGAAAACUCUUUAAUGACUUUGAUAGACAGAAAAUGUUGUAAGCAGCCAGACAGCAGGUAGCCAAUGCAGACUGUUUUUAAAGCCACGACGCCUGCCAAAAUUCAGAAGAAUACUUCACCCAUUGCUGGCCCAUACUAUUCUCAAUAUUUUAUUUCCAAAUUCACGUCCACAGGAAGAAUCUGAAGGCAGACUCACAACAUAUAAAAAAACCACAAGAGAGAGAGCACAUUGUAUCCACUGAGAACAUUCACCAACACCAUCACCUGUUUGCCUCCUGUGGCUUGUUUCAGGAGCCCAAACAGCAGAGCGUCAGAGACUUUUGAAAGUGUGAGGUCAAUCCUGGUGAAUGACACAUUCUCCCAUUUUUCAAACCCACUCCUUUCCCAAAACAGGAAUUGUUCCUGCUUCAGGAUGCAACCAUUAACAGGACCACCAACAUUCCUCACUGCACCAUCACCUAGCCUGCAAAACCUUUUACCAGUGACCAGAAAGCAGGAAAAUCUCUCAUUCACAGCCUCUUACCCAAACUGGCCGGUUGGGAAAUGAAGGCCACUACAAAAGAGUCCAAAAACAGCCAAAAGGCAAGAAUAUCCCUUCCAUGAUGUUCUCCCCUCUCCUGCGGAUCCAAGAAGCAAAAGACUCCACAUGACAGAACACCAGGUCACCCCGGGAACACCCUUUCUCCAAGUCCAUAUUAUGUACAGCCUUGGAGAAAAAAUGGGCAAGUUUCUUAUCUAAGUGAGGGCAUAAAGAGGAGCUAACGAUGUUGCCAAUUCAUGUAUGUAUUUAAGUGACAUUUCUGCUUGUACUUGAAACAUGCUAUUAUGUUUCCAGGAGUGAAUAAAGCUCAACAAUACAUAUAAAUGUGCACACGUACACCAACAUGCUGUGUGCCAAGGGCUAUAUAUUCAGCAAAAAUAAUACAUGGUGAACCUACAGUGAGGAUUAAUGUUGUCAGUUGCUAAACCAAAGACAAUGUGGCAAGCAAGGAGCUAGUAAUCUGAUUUAAAAAAACCCAACGUCUUAUAUUGGUAUUAUUGAACCAAAGUAAGAUCCUGUUAUGUACAAACCUAUGCAGAAAUGCACCAAUUUUCCCCUGAGUAAAUACACUAAUGGCCUAUAUAACUGAUGUUGGGCAGAAAACUGUACCUAAGGAUAUCUUGCUCAAUCAGUUUUGGAAAACUUCUGCUUCAAGACACUAAAGCUGUUCCAGCUGCUUUCUUUCACUGCAAAAACUGCUUGCAUUAUGUUUGAAAACUGUGUUAUCUUGAAAGCUUAGUCAUCAGUGAACAGUUUUAUAAGAAGAAAAGAUUAGAUCAUAUGCACAGUGUUGUAUAAUUUUACUACUUGUUGACACCAAUACUGAACUUUUUAUUUUUUGUUUAAUAACAUUAUUUAAUGUUGUGCUACCAUACAUGUUUUCUAACAACAAUAUUUUAGCUAUGAAACUAUAUGCUUAAGUGCCUCCCUAUUUAGGGAAAACACUUAAGGAUGUGCUUAAAUCCCAUUGGCUUUCAUGGAACAUCCUGCUUUCCCGAAAAGGAAUCCUUUCCUGAAUCAUAGCCUCAGUGAACAACAAAGAAAAUAUAUAUAAGAUUAUCUUCUCAACAUCUGAUGCAGAAAUAUAUUGGUAAUAUUAACAGUUGUAUAUGUAAAUAUUUAUUAAGGAUAGCUAGCUAUUUAGAAUAGAUGUAUUUCUGAAGCACUUAUCACAGUAGAACCUGAGUGAUA